rnacentral:rRNA from 1 species
AUACGGAGGGUGCAAGCGUUGUUCGGAAUCACUGGGCGUAAAGGGCGCGCAGGCGGUUUGGUAAGUCAGAUGUGAAAGCCCACGGCUCAACCGUGGAAGUGCAUUUGAAACUGCCAGACUUGAGUACCAGAGGGGAAAGUGGAAUUCCCGGUGUAGAGGUGAAAUUCGUAGAUAUCAGGAGGAAUACCGGUGGCGAAGGCGACUUUCUGGCUGGAUACUGACGCUGAGGCGCGAAAGCGUGGGGAGCAAACAGGAUUAGAAACCCUAGUAGUCC